GAGUUUGAUCAUGGCUCAGGAUGAACGCUGGCGGCGUGCCUAAUACAUGCAAGUCGAACGAAGAGAUGAAGCUAAGCUUGCUUAGCAUCUGAUCUUAGUGGCGAACGGGUGAGUAAUACAUAAACAACCUGCCCCGAUGUCUGGGAUAACAGUUGGAAACGACUGCUAAUACCGGAUAAGUUACCUGAAGGCAUCUUCAGAAAACGAAGAUGGGAUACAUCGCAACGGGAUGGAUUUAUGGCGCAUUAGUUAGUAGGUGAGGUAACGGCGUCACCUAGACGAAGAUGCGUAGCCGGCCUGAGAGGGUGACCGGCCACACUGGGACUGAGAC
rnacentral:rRNA from 1 species